rnacentral:tRNA from 1 species
AAUAAAACAUUUUAAACAUCAAGUAAAGGCGAUUAAAAAAUGUCUUUAAGCUAUAGAAUUAGUA